UCUGGUUGAUCCUGGCAGAGGUUACUGCUAUCGAGGUUCGACUAAGCCAUGCGAGUCGAAUGUAGCAAUACAUGGCGAACUGCUCAGUAACACGUGGACAACCUGCCCUUAGGACGGGGAUAAACCCGGGAAACUGGGUAUAAUACCCGAUAGGUCUCGAUUGCUGGAAUGCAUCGAGAUUUAAAGCUCCGGCGCCUAAGGAUGGGUCUGCGGCCUAUCAGGUAGUAGUGGGUGUAGCGUACCUACUAGCCUACGACGGGUACGGGUUGUGAGAGCAAGAGCCCGGAGAUGGAUUCUGAGACACGAAUCCAGGCCCUACGGGGUGCAGCAGGCGCGAAAACUUUACAAUGCUGGCAACAGCGAUAAGGGAACCUCGAGUGCCAGGUUACAAAUCUGGCUGUCGAGAUGCCUAAAAAGCAUUUCAUAGCAAGGGCCGGGCAAGACCGGUGCCAGCCGCCGCGGUAACACCGGCGGCUCGAGUGGUAACCGUUAUUAUUGGG
rnacentral:rRNA from 1 species